GCACUAAUGGUGUAAUGGUAACAUCUAAGCUUCCCAUGCGUGCAACGCGUUGUCUGCUUAGGCCCCUGGUUCGAUUCCUGGUUAGUGCA
rnacentral:tRNA from 1 species